CUUUCUUUCUUUCUUUCUUUUUUUUUUUUUUUGAUGCAGUUUUCCAAAGGAGCAUUUUGGCGAGAUAAGAAGUGACCGAUCAAAAUCGCUGAGGGGAGGUUGUAAGCAGCCGCUUUGCCCCAGCUUAACGUUAUCUUAUCUUUCACACUUGCGCGACGGAAAAAAAUUGGCUUAUCUUCAGCCCCACCCCCUUCUCGCCUUAAUUGCUAAAAAGCACUGGUGUGUUCAACCUGGAGGAAAGAGGUCUGAUCGCCAGGGGGAAAGGAAGAUUCCAGAAUGUGGGCGCCUGGGAACAGCAAGAGUUGGAAAAUGUGCCCGUAGAGAUGGAAGAGAACCCCUUUAAUCCCACCAGCCCAAAUGAGGAUACCUUGGAGGCGAGACUCCUGA